rnacentral:rRNA from 1 species
GACGAACGCUGGCGGCGUGCUUAACACAUGCAAGUCGAACGGUAAGGCUCCAGCUUGCUGGGGUACACGAGUGGCGAACGGGUGAGUAACACGUGGGUGACCCGCCCUGCACUUCGGGAUAAGCCUGGGAAACUGGGUCUAAUACCGGAUAGGACUGCACCGUGAGGGUGUGGUGGAAAGUUUUUUCGGUGUGAGAUGGGCCCGCGGCCUAUCAUCUUGUUGGUGGGGUAAUGGCCUACCAAGGCGGCGACGGGUAGCCAGCCUGAGAGGGUGGACGGCCACAUUGGGACUGAGACACGGCCCAGACUCCUACGGGAGGCAGCAGUGGGGAAUAUUGCACAAUGGGCGGAAGCCUGAUGCAACGACGCCGCGUGGGGGAUGACGGCCUUCGGGUUGUAAACUCCUUUCACCAUCGACGAAGGGUUUCUGACGGUAGAUGGAGAAGAAGCACCGGCUAACUACGUGCCAGCAGCCGCGGUAAUACAUAGGGUGCGAGCGUUGUCCGGAAUUACUGGGCGUAAAGAGCUCGUAGGUGGUUUGUCGCGUCGUCUGUGAAUUCCGGGGCUUAACUCCGGGCGUGCAGGCGAUACGGGCAUAACUUGAGUACUGUAAGGGGAGACUGGAAUUCCUGGUGUAGCGGUGAAAUGCGCAUAUAUCAGGAAGAACACCGGUGGCGAAGGCGGGUCUCUGGGCAGUAACUGACGCUGAGGAGCGAAAGCGUGGGGAGCGAGCAGGAUUAGAUACCCUGGUAGUCCAUGCCGUAAACGGUGGGCGCUAGGUGUGGGUUUCCUUCCACGGGAUCCGUGCCGUAGCUAACGCAUUAAGCGCCCCGCCUGGGGAGUACGGCCGCAAGGCUAAAACUCAAAGGAAUUGACGGGGGCCCGCACAAGCGGCGGAGCAUGUGGAUUAAUUCGAUGCAACGCGAAGAACCUUACCUGGGCUUGACAUAUACAGGAUCGCGCCAGAGAUGGUGUUUCCCUUGUGGCUUGUAUACAGGUGGUGCAUGGUUGUCGUCAGCUCGUGUCGUGAGAUGUUGGGUUAAGUCCCGCAACGAGCGCAACCCUUGUCUUAUGUUGCCAGCACGUUGUGGUGGGGACUCGUAAGAAACUGCCGGGGUUAACUCGGAGGAAGGUGGGGAUGACGUCAAAUCAUCAUGCCCCUUAUGUCCAGGGCUUCACACAUGCUACAAUGGUCGGUACAGUGGGUUGCCAGUCCGUGAGGGCGAGCUAAUCCCGCAAAGCCGGUCUCAGUUCGGAUCGGGGUCUGCAACUCGACCCCGUGAAGUCGGAGUCGCUAGUAAUCGCAGAUCAGCAACGCUGCGGUGAAUACGUUCCCGGGCCU